rnacentral:rRNA from 1 species
AUUGAACGCUGGCGGCAGGCUUAACACAUGCAAGUCGAGCGAGCGGCGGACGGGUGAGUAAUGUCUGGGAAUCUGCCCGAUGGAGGGGGAUAACUACUGGAAACGGUAGCUAAUACCGCAUACCAUCAGAUGUGCCCAUAUGGGAUUAGCUAGUAGGUGGGGUAAUGGCUCACCUAGGCCACGAUCCCUAGCUGGUCUGAGAGGAUGACCAGCCACACUGGAACUGAGACACGGUCCAGACUCCUACGUGAGGCAGCAGUGGGGAAUAUUGCACAAUGGGCGCAAGCCUGAUGCAGCCAUGCCGCGUGUGUGAAGAAGGCCUUCGGGUUGUAAAGCACUUUCAGCGAGGAGGCGUUACUCGCAGAAGAAGCACCGGCUAACUCCGUGCCAGCCGCCGCGGUAAUAC